UCGCUUCCCUGAGUUGGACCAAUCCUGUGCGAGGGCGCCGUGGGCGGGGCACGCUCGGCGGGAGAGCUGCGUGAGAAAUGUCCCGAGGUAGAAUGAGAGCCUUUCCUCUGCGGCCGAGCGCUGGUGGCGAGAGGGACAGUCCGUGUUUGGGGUGAAGGCUGCUCUCCCUUCCUGGCGGCGGGGAAGAAGCACAAUGGAGCUAGGAGCAGAGCCGGCCUUCGCUUGAAGCUGGAUGCUGAGGACCUAGCAGCCGGGAAUGGACAGAACUUGUAUCUGUGACCACGCCUUUGAGCUGAUAAUCCUGCUACACCAGGACCCACCCUACCUCUGCACUUACAGUAAUAGGAGGAGCGCCGUGCAGCUGGGCCCACUGGUCACUGGAAGGCUCGGGAAGCCAUGAAGCCACUGGGAAGCCACUGAUGCCGUGACCUUCUGCUCCUGGCGCUGGAGUGCAGGCCGCGCCUCUGCUCAGACAGGUGGGACGCCUCAGGCACCUGGGCAUUUAUUUACCUGUGGCCUCGGUGGCUACCGGGAAUUUACCAUUCCGCCUCACUUCCGCCUGCUCAGCCAGGCACCGGACCCCCCUGGAGGGGCUGCU